rnacentral:rRNA from 1 species
UGGGGAAUAUUGGACAAUGGGCGCAAGCCUGAUCCAGCCAUGCCGCGUGAGUGAUGAAGGCCCUAGGGUUGUAAAGCUCUUUCACCGGUGAAGAUAAUGACGGUAACCGGAGAAGAAGCCCCGGCUAACUUCGUGCCAGCAGCCGCGGUAAUACGAAGGGGGCUAGCGUUGUUCGGAUUUACUGGGCGUAAAGCGCACGUAGGCGGACUUUUAAGUCAGGGGUGAAAUCCCGGGGCUCAACCCCGGAACUGCCUUUGAUACUGGAAGUCUUGAGUAUGGUAGAGGUGAGUGGAAUUCCGAGUGUAGAGGUGAAAUUCGUAGAUAUUCGGAGGAAAACCAGUGGCGAAGGCAGCUCACUGGACCAUUACUGACGCUGAGGUGCGAAAGCGUGGGGAGCAAACAGG